rnacentral:rRNA from 1 species
GACAGAGGUCCCGAGCGUUAGGCGGAAUCACUGGGCUUAAAGCGUGUGUAGGCGGAUGCCUAAGUACCUUGUGAAAUCCCACAGCUUAACCGUGGAACUGCUUGGUAUACUGGGUGUCUUGAGCCACUUAGGGGCUACCGGAACAAAUGGUGGAGCGGUGAAAUGCGUAGAUAUCAUUUGGAACGCCAAUGGUGAAAACAGGUAGCUGGGAGUGUGCUGACGCUGAGACACGAAAGCCAGGGGAGCAAACGGG